rnacentral:lncRNA from 1 species
UUCUCUAGGGCAACCAUCUCCAAACGAAGUCGACGCGAGCAACCCUAGUGUUUCUCCUCCUUGAUGACCACUGUGGUAAGUUUUCUCUAGUUCAUUUUGACAUAAUUAGCUAGUUUAGCUUAGUUAGGUAAAAACAUCAUAAGAACCUUGGUUAGCUCACAAGUUAGCUAAUUUAGCUCCAAAAUGACUUAGUUAGCCCAUUUAGCUCCAAAAAUACAUAAUUAGAUAAUUAGCUCCAAGAAGAG